CAAAGAAGGAUCCCCUCUCCUUACAUGCCGUAUACCCUCACCCCCUCCCCUGCCAUAAACACAAGAACUUAAGGAAUUAAUUAGACACUGGAUCAAACACGGAUCCAGCGUGACAGCUUCCAUUGGCAGCUCCUUGACCUCUCUCUUAUUCACUGAGGGAUGUGGGCAGGGGUAUUUUGCCGGCUUUGCUCCACACACAGAGGGACAGCACUGCAGUCCUGUGAAACUGCAAGGAAAAAUUCACUUCGCUCCUCCGAGGCUUGUUCUUUAAAGACAGUUUCUGCCACAAGGGUGCCUCCCAAAUUAAUUUUCCCAUGGCUCACAUCAAAGAAGCUCAAGUUCUGAUAAUCUGCAUAACAUCACAGAACGCUGUUUAUUUUAUAGGUGGAAAGGUGGUGUACUUUUGCAGUACAUUUUAUUUAUGUUUGGGGGUAAUCCAGUAUGGUCUAAUCAAUAUGCAAGGUGUGACUUCUCCAUUCUGCAAUCUCACAGCUCUGGAGUAACAGGCUAACAUCUUUAUUUAUAGGAGCAGUAACAAAUCACAGCCUGUACUGUACAUUGUGUAUUACUCCAUGUGUCGAUACAGAGAGUUGAUUCAUGGCCACUAAUAUGAGAGGCAGGCUCUCCACAACAUGCUAUAGACGGAUUGUAUGGAAAAUCUAUGUGAACACAUUUGCCCAUAAAUGAGAGUCUUUCUUAUCUGUUAAUGCCAUCCCCUGAUAGGCAGACUGAGUGUUAUUGACUGCAGGACAAGCAACAUGUCAUAGCUUGUUGAUUUGCUCUGAGGGGGGAUAUCAGAAAACAGGAUUACCUUGGUUAGGCCAGUAAAGUGUGAAAACUGCAUUAUUGAUUUGAAUAAGAGGGCCAUUUUGAAUUUGGGUGUUGGUUCUUCUUGAGGAAAUAAAAGUAAAAUUUACAACCAUACAAAUUAAAAAGAAAGGAACCACAGUAGGAAACAGCUAA